rnacentral:rRNA from 1 species
UACGGGGGGGGCAAGCGUUGUUCGGAAUUACUGGGCGUAAAGGGCUCGUAGGUGGCCAACUAAGUCGGACGUGAAAUCCCUCAGCUUAACUGGGGAACUGCGUCCGAUACUGGAUGGCUUGAGUUUGGGAGAGGGAUGCGGAAUUCCAGGUGUAGCGGUGAAAUGCGCAGAUAUCAGGAGGAACACCGAUGGCGAAGGCAGUGGUCUGGGCCGAUACUGACGCUGAGGAGCGAAAGCGUGGGGAGCGAACAGG